rnacentral:rRNA from 24 species
UGCCUGGCAGUUCCCUACUCUCGCAUGGGGAGACCCCACACUACCAUCGGCGCUACGGCGUUUCACUUCUGAGUUCGGCAUGGGGUCAGGUGGGACCACCGCGCUAAGGCCGCCA